CGGGGAGUCAGGGGCACAAGGUCACAGCUGGUAAUGAUGACCCUGGAAUGUCCUCACAGCUGCACACCUGCACCGCUCACAAACACAGCUGACCGUCUCACAGCUGCACACCUGCACCGCUCACGAGCACAGCUGACCGUCUCACAGCUGCACACCUGCACUGCUCACGAACACAGCUGAUCGUCUGCCUCUUCGUGUGAGCUGAGCUCCGAAUCUCAGCUGUCCAGGCUGUCUGGAAAUCAUCAGCCCCACUGGCUGGAUCUCAAAAUUUACUUUCAAAAGGCUGAUGGAGUGUUUUCAAUUAAACAUGACCUAAAAUUAAGUAAUAAACACACUGGAUGUGAGUUUUUAUUUGGAAUUUAAACUAUUCAGAGCUGGUAGAAAAUGUGUGCUCCUGGAUCAGUGCCUUUUUUCUCCUAAAUCAGUUGAGAACAACAACAGAAACAAAUGACAUUCCUCAAACAUUUGCCCAGAGCACAACCACGGGGAAUAUGAACCACAGGUUUUCACAUUGGUUUUCCAUGCCUAUACCUGUCCUGUCUCCCACAAAAAUUAUUGCUUGAGGCCCAACCCGGGGGAUAAAAAGACACCCCCCCGCCACUCCGUGACCUAUUAGCUUACCAUCCUAUUGGAUUUCACUGUUUUUUGUUUUGUGGUGUUUUUUUUUUAUUGCAACGAAGACUUUUAAAUGGACUCAUGAAGAAGCCAUCACCUGGAAUCUUAAUCUUGCAUUAAUUUUAAGUGUCUGAUUUUAGCUGCAGCCACUUGAGAACUUUUCAAUGAAUGAAAAUGAGGGAGGGGAGAUGCAAGUCACUGCCCAAAAACAAAACCAGAGGAAUUGUGAUUGAACAUUGCACUUAUCAACCCUACAAAUUAAUAUGGAAAUAGGAAAAGGGUUUGUUUCAACAAGUCAGGAUGACAGUAUUUUAAAAAAGAAAAAAAGGCCAGCCUGGGCAAUAUACUGAGACUCCAUCUCUACAAAAAAGUAGAAAAAUUAGCCCAGAGUGUGGUGGCACACAUCUGUGCUCCCAGCUACUCAGGAGGCUGAGGUGGGAGGAUCAUUUGAGCCCAGGAAGUCGAGGUUGCAGUGAGCUGUGAUCGGACGACUCCACUCCAGCCGGGGUGACAGAGCAAGACCCUGUCUCAAAAAAAAAAAAAAAGGGCGGAUCCUAACGCUUGGUCCUCACACCUGAGGCUCUCACUAAGAGGUGGCUGGAAGCUCCUCAGACCGCUGCCUAGGGUUCGAGUGAUCCUGAAAGCUGUACAACAUCAGCCUCUGUGGGAUCCCUGAGAAUGAUGAAAUGUAAUAUGUGGCUGUCUCAUCAACAGAGCUUCAUUUUACCAAAGCAUAUGUAGACACCACAUACAUGAACUACAUACCUAUCGUGUAGAUGCUGCCCUGCCUCAUAAGAACACUCUUGACUGUCCUGCUUCACAAUAAUAAUCUUCGCAAUAAUGAUCUAAUAAUGGUCAAAUUCUGUGUCUCUACCGUAGAAAACAGAAUUUGACCAUUUAGUCACGUUGGUCUUGCAAAAUGUCCACCUUCCAAAAGAGAACAGUAUUGCUUCCCAAUAAUUAAGAAUAGUCUGGAUUCAGGAUCCAGCAGCUUAGAAGCGUUUAGCUACCAAUAGCAAAAAUCAGCCCUUUUAACAAUGGUGGGAUGUAUUAUUUCACAUGGCAAGAAGUCCCAAGGGAGGGCAGCUCUGGGGCGAGUAAAUUCUGCACCUCAGUAAAACUAAGAGCAAGACCCGGCCGGGCGCAGUGGCUCAUGCCUGUAAUCCCAGCACUUUGGGAGGCCGAGGUGGGUGGAUCACCUGAGGUCAGGAGUUCUAAACCAGCCUGGCCAACAUGGCGAAACCCCCGUCUCUACUAAAAAUACAAAAAUUAGCCAGGCGUGGUGGUGGGCGCUUGUAAUCCCAGUUGCUCGGGAGGCUGAGGGAGGAGGAUCGCUUGAACUCAGGAGGUGGAAGUUGCAGUGAGCCGAGAUCGUGCCACUGCACUCCAGCCUGGGUAACAGAGCGAGACUCCAUCUCAAAAAAUAAAAAACAAAAAAAUAAAUAAAAAAUAAAAAGACCCAACCCCAGAUUUGUUCCACCUGGGUGCAUCCGGUCAGAGAAUGCCUUUCUUCUUCCCUUUUGUCUCCUAAGAGUGAAGAAAAUGUUUCUUUGAAGGUGUUUCCACCCCACUCCUGUGCCUAAAAUGAUCCUGGCAAACAGGACCCGCAUGAUAGGUUGAGCCAUGUGGUUCUUGUUUUUUUGUUGUCACAACUCAGGUUGGGGGUGUUACUGGCAUCAAGAGUGUAGAAACCAGGGAUGCUGCGUCAACACCCUACCAUGCACAGGACAACCCUCACCCCAAAGAGUGGCACAGCCCCAAGUGUCAACAGUGCUGAGGUUGAGGAAUCCCAGCUUAACCCAUUCAUGAGACCACCUGAGCCUGGUGUAACGGUUCUGCUGAUAGUUUCCGGACCCUCAGAGGUGGAGACAUAAGAGAACAAUACCAGGGUUCCAUCAGAAAGGAAAUCAGAAUGGCUAUCGGGUGGACAACCUACAGUGUUUGCUACAGACCUUCUAGAUGUAACUUCUAGAUUAUAAACACUGGUAACACUGGAGAUGGUUAAAUCGGAAUUAGCUGACUGUCAACCUUGGUGGCACAUUAGAAUCACCUGGGGAGCAGUUCAAAGGCCCAAAACUGGGCAGCACCACAGAACCCUCACAUCAGAAUCCCCAUGGGUGGGCCCAGACAGCAGUGUUCAUCUUAGACUCCAGUGUGCAGUCGAGGUCGAGAACUGCAUUCAAGAAGGCCUGUCUACUGCGAACCGUCCGAUGAUGUAAUUCACCAAGUUCCAUGGGAUUCCGCCACGCCCGUGUCAACCCAGCUGACACGUCCAACUUGGACAAUCAGGGCUUUGACCCCCGUUACCUGGCAUUCAAUUCAAUCCAUGUGUCACGCAUGCCCCAACAAUUUGUGUCCCAACUGUUUGAAUCAAAGGAUUUCUGAUUCCCUGAUGGGUGAUGACUCAGUAACCGGAUUCAGCUUCAGAUCUGCCUGACAUUUUUCCUGCCUGUCCUGGGCCAGGUAUGGCGCUAGCUGCUUUCACCUGUAUCAUCUCAUUCACUGCUCAGAGGCUCUCGAAAGCUGUUGACAUUAUCAAAAAGUUUUCCAGCUGGAAUUCAUCUCCCUCUAAUCAGCCUUCAAAACCUCCAUUUGUAAACCAUUGCUGUAGUUUUAUUACCUCUUACCUUGGUCUUUACAAGUUGCUGUCAAAACCCAGUAAGUGUUUACAGAAAGAAACUUUACAUAUUAAAUAUCUUAAAGGUCUUUUAUGCAGAAUAUGCAGUUAAUUUUGAUGGGCUAUGGAUAAUCAUCAGAAGAGCCAUUUCUGGAAAUGUAAAUAAUAUGGCUGUUUCUUUUAACAGUGCAUUCUCCUGAAAACAUAAGACCAUUUGACUGAUUCUGCUCCAGAAUCUUAUUGAGGCAAAGGACUGGACCGAAUUAUUCAUGGAACAGAAGCCUAGGACUGGUAAGUCCAGGAAAUGCUGCAAAACAAUGCCCUCAAAAGAAAUCAGCCUUUCCCUUUGAUAGGUAUCUCUCCUGCAAGCCAGGCUCAGGUGCGCCUCAAUUAGAACCUGUGUUCGCUGGGGCCAUAAUUAAGAAUCUUAAAGGGAAAGAAUGUUUUGAAAGCCAUCUGUCAAAAGUACGCAGUCUUGCUUGUAGAAUUUUAGAGGUUCAUGGUUACCGUGGGUCGGCACUGGGUCUGUGAGCCCUCAUCCCCAGGGCUCGGUUUCCUAUCAGAAUCCUUGUCUGGAAGGUUGAUUAUAUCAGAUGCGCAUUUUGCCAGCAUCCUCAGAAGGAGAUGCGAGGAAGAUUCUUUUCCUGGGCCACUCUCAUUUUCUCAAACUUGGACAAGUCUUAACAAUAAUCUGUGACCCAACUUUGUCUUCCCCAUGAUGAAAAACAGACCCCAUAGAAACUCUCUGGCACAAAAACUCUGGAAUCACUGACCCCAGACAUUGUUCCCUGCCAUCCACUCUGCCAGACAUUUCUUGGAUUUAUUCAAGCUGACUUGUAUUCCAGAACAAUUGUGGACAAGAUUUGCUAGUAAUGCUUCCAACAAGUUACCGUUUAGCAAGUUCAGAACUUGAAGAAUCCCUUUUAUCCUAACGCUGACUAAUAAACUGGUGAGAACUGUUUGAAAUACCCAUAAGUCAAUGGAGGUCGUAAUUUGCUUUUAUGCUGUAUUAAACACCACUGAGAUGUUAAGGUCUUUCUUGGGAACCACCGUGAUGUUCUCUUCUGGACUCUUCGUAACCCCUUCAGCAGACGACCCUGUAUCUGGUCUUGGUUCUGAAAGGUUUGCAGCGGCACCUAAGUCACUGAAGUUCUGGCAGAAUUCAUUCUCCUGCUCUCUACUGGGACUUGUUUUCCAUAAUUGGUCUGAGAACAACAGAUUUUUUUCUUUUUUGCCUCGGAUUUCAACAAAACAUACAUGGAAAGAAUAUUUUCUUCCUUGGAGACAUUUCCCAUAGGGCAGUGGUUCUUAAAAUACGUUCCUGAACCGGCAGCAUCAGAAUCCCCUGGGAACGUGCUGGAAAUGUAGAUCCCCAGGCCCUACCUAGCCCUACUGAAUCAGAGACCCUGGGAGGGAGGUCCAGCAGCCUGGGUUUUAACACAUCCUCCAGGCGAUUCUGAGAGUGAGAGAGCCAGGGCCUUCGGGCAUCAACCUUGGGGCGAGGGUGUUGGGUUGCCCAACACCCUUUAGUCUAAUGGCUUUAGGGUCAAAUAUGUCUAAACCAAGAAGCCCCAUGGGGCACUGAUUAGCAUGCAGGUCCCCAGGCCCCCUUUUUGUAGAUCCUGAUUCAGAAUAUCUGGGACGGGGGCUGGAGAUUCAUAUUUUUAAUAAAUUCCCUCAUUUAUUAUUUUUGUGUCUUAUUUCCCAUACACAAAAACACUGCGUAGAGAAAUGGGAGUGUGGGCGAUGCUCCCAUGCUGGGAGUCUCAGGCCUGGGCUAGUCCUAAAAUAAUUGAAAAGGAAUUGAUUCUUAAUUACCCAGAACGUCCACGCUCUAGGACCUAGUGUGACCUCUUCUGCCUUCUGAACCGAGGAGUCCACCCCUAAGCCCGAGGAACUGAGCGUGAAGAGCCCUGACGCCAUGAAGACUUGAAUCACUUUAAAGCAAUUUGCUUCUUAUUAAAAUGUACUUCAGUAAAAAAUCAUUUCAACUCUUAAGCCACAAAAGGAUAUCCAAUCAUUUAAAGCUUCCUGAGUGUUUCGGUUGAUUAAAAAGCUUUUAAAGAGCAUAGUAAAUAUUUUACCAGAAGGAUAAGUUAUUCAGUAUGGAGAUUAUUUAUUAAAAACUAGUAAUUUAUU
rnacentral:lncRNA from 1 species